UACGUAGGUGGCGAGCGUUGUCCGGAAUUAUUGGGCGUAAAGGGCGCGUAGGCGGCAGCCUAAGUCAGAUGUGAAAUCCCGGGGCUUAACUCCGGACGUGCAUUUGAAACUGGGCAGCUCGAGUGCAGGAGAGGAAAGCGGAAUUCCUAGUGUAGCGGUGAAAUGCGUAGAUAUUAGGAGGAACACCAGUGGCGAAGGCGGCUUUCUGGACUGUAACUGACGCUGAGGCGCGAAAGCGUGGGGAGCAAACAGG
rnacentral:rRNA from 1 species